rnacentral:rRNA from 1 species
GAUGAACGCUGGCGGCGUGCCUAAUACAUGCCAGUCGAGCGAACGGACGAGAAGCUUGCUUCUCUGAUGUUAGCGGCGGACGGGUGAGUAACACGUGGAUAACCUACCUAUAAGACUGGGAUAACUUCGGGAAACCGGAGCUAAUACCGGAUAAUAUUUUGAACCGCAUGGCUCAAAAGUGAAAGACGGUCUUGCUGUCACUUAUAGAUGGAUCCGCGCUGCAUUAGCUAGUUGGUAAGGUAACGGCUUACCAAGGCAACGAUGCAUAGCCGACCUGAGAGGGUGAUCGGCCACACUGGAACUGAGACACGGUCCAGACUCCUACGGGAGGCAGCAGUAGGGAAUCUUCCGCAAUGGGCGAAAGCCUGACGGAGCAACGCCGCGUGAGUGAUGAAGGUCUUCGGAUCGUAAAACUCUGUUAUUAGGGAAGAACAUAUGUGUAAGUAACUGUGCACAUCUUGACGGUACCUAAUCAGAAAGCCACGGCUAACCACGUG